UAGUGAACCAGUACCGUGAGGGAAAGGCGAAAAGAAYCCCGGCGAGGGGAGUGAAAAAGAACCUGAAACCGUGUACGUACAAGCAGUGGGAGCACAGGUUUACCUGUGUGACUGCGUACCUUUUGUAUAAUGGGUCAGCGACUUAUAUUCUGUAGCAAGGUUAACCGCAUAGGGGAGCCGUAGGGAAACCGAGUCUUAACCGGGCGUUAAGUUGCAGGGUAUAGACCCGAAACCCGGUGAUCUAGCCAUGGGCAGGUUGAAGA
rnacentral:rRNA from 1 species